UACGGGGGGGGCAAGCGUUGUUCGGAAUUACUGGGCGUAAAGGGCGCGUAGGCGGCCUGUUAAGUCGGAUGUGAAAUCCCUCGGCUCAACCGAGGAACUGCAUCCGAUACUGGCGGGCUGGAAUCCGGGAGAGGGAUGUGGAAUUCCAGGUGUAGCGGUGAAAUGCGUAGAUAUCUGGAGGAACACCGGUGGCGAAGGCGGCAUCCUGGACCGGUAUUGACGCUGAGGCGCGAAAGCUAGGGGAGCAAACGGG
rnacentral:rRNA from 2 species